UGUCUAUCGUACCUUGUUGCUUCGGCGGGCCCGCCGUUUCGACGGCCGCCGGGGAGGCCUUGCGCCCCCGGGCCCGCGCCCGCCGAAGACCCCAACAUGAACGCUGUUCUGAAAGUAUGCAGUCUGAGUUGAUUAUCGUAAUCAGUUAAAACUUUCAACAACGGAUCUCUUGGUUCCGGCAUCGAUGAAGAACGCAGCGAAAUGCGAUAAGUAAUGUGAAUUGCAGAAUUCAGUGAAUCAUCGAGUCUUUGAACGCACAUUGCGCCCCCUGGUAUUCCGGGGGGCAUGCCUGUCCGAGCGUCAUUGCUGCCCUCAAGCACGGCUUGUGUGUUGGGCCCCCGUCCCCCUCUCCCGGGGGACGGGCCCGAAAGGCAGCGGCGGCACCGCGUCCGGUCCUCGAGCGUAUGGGGCUUUGUCACCUGCUCUGUAGGCCCGGCCGGCGCCAGCCGACACCCAACUUUAUUUUUCUAAGGUUGACCUCGGAUCAGGUAGGGAUACCCGCUGAACUUAAGCAUAUCAAUAA
rnacentral:rRNA from 1 species